GAUGAACGCUGGCGGCGUGCCUAAUACAUGCAAGUCGAGCAAACAGAUGAGGAGCUUGCUCCUCUGACGUUAGCGGCGGACGGGUGAGUAACACGUGGAUAACCUACCUAUAAGACUGGGAUAACUUCGGGAAACCGGAGCUAAUACCGGAUAAUAUAUUGAACCGCAUGGUUCAAUAGUGAAAGACGGUUUUGCUGUCACUUAUAGAUGGAUCCGCGCCGCAUUAGCUAGUUGGUAAGGUAACGGCUUACCAAGGCAACGAUGCGUAGCCGACCUGAGAGGGGGAUCGGCCACACUGGAACUGGGACACGGUCCCGACUCCUAAGGGAGGGAGCAGGAGGGAAACUUCCGCAAUGGGCGAAAGCCUGACGGAGCAACGGCGGGGGAGUGAUGAAGGUCUUCGGAUCGGAAAACCCUGUUAUUAGGGAAGAACAAAUGUGUAAGUAACUAUGCACGUCUUGACGGUACCUAAUCAGAAAGCCACGGCUAACUACGUG
rnacentral:rRNA from 1 species